rnacentral:rRNA from 1 species
UACGUAGGGGGCAAGCGUUGUCCGGAUUUAUUGGGCGUAAAGAGCGUGUAGGCGGCCAGGUAAGUCAGCUGUGAAAACUCGAGGCUCAACCUCGAGACGUCGGUUGAAACCAUCUGGCUAGAGUCCGGAAGAGGAGAGUGGAAUUCCUGGUGUAGCGGUGAAAUGCGCAGAUAUCAGGAAGAACACCCGUGGCGAAGGCGGCUCUCUGGGACGGUACUGACGCUGAGACGCGAAAGCGUGGGGAGCGAACAGG